GCGAGGUGCGAGGCGCCGGGCGAGAGUCCCCGUCCUACCCCCUCCCGCAGGCUGGUCAGGAGCCAGAGGCUGAAAUGCAAGCACGGGAGCCCUGGGGGCCUUCUGCAGGAGGCGGAUGGCUGGGAGGCCAGCAGGCUGUGAGCCCCCAGCCACAGGGACUUCUUUACACUCCCUUCCAGCUCCAUGGCUGCUGCUCCUCCCUGAAGCUAAAAUAAAAUCCUGACCAUUUAAGGUGAA